CGGUGAAUACGUUCCCGGACCUUGUACACACCGCCCGUCAAGCCAUGGAAGCUGGGUGUACCUAAAGUCGAUAACCGUAAGGAGUCGCCUAGGGUAAAACUAGUGACUGGGGCU
rnacentral:rRNA from 1 species